AACGCGAAGAACCUUACCCAGGUUUGAAAUACAGGAGACGAUAUCAGAAAUGAUAUUUUCCGCAAGGACUGCUGUACAGGUGCUGCAUGGCUGUCGUCAGCUCGUGCCGUGAGGUGUUGGGUUAAGUCCCGCAACGAGCGCAACCCUUAUCAUUAGUUGCCAACACGCGAGGUGGGGACUCUAAUGAGACUGCCUAGGUUAACUAGGAGGAAGGUGAGGAUGACGUCAAGUCCGCAUGGCCUUUAUAUCUGGGGCUACACACGUGCUACAAUGGUCGGUACAGAAGGCAGCGAAACCGCAAGGUGGAGCAAAUCCAAAAAGCCGAUCUCAGUUCAGAUUGUAGUCUGCAACUCGACUACAUGAAGUCGGAAUUGCUAGUAAUGACGUGUCAGCAACAGCGUCGUGAAUACGUUCCCGGGCCUUGUACACACCGAGACGAC
rnacentral:rRNA from 1 species